rnacentral:rRNA from 1 species
UAGGGGACCCGAGUGCCAGCAUCUAUGUUGGCUGUCCAGAUGUGUAAAUACAUCUGUUANCAAGGGCCGGGCAANACCGGUGCCAGCCGCCGCGGUAACACCGGCGGCCCGAGUGGUGAUCGUGAUUAUUGGGUCUAAAGGGUCCGUAGCCGGUUUGGUCAGUCCUCCGGGAAAUCUGACGGCUCNNNGUUAGGCUUUCNNUGGAUACUGCCAGACUUGGAACCGAGAGAGGUAAGAGGUACUACGUGGGAAUGANUGNAUCGNUGNAUCCA